rnacentral:lncRNA from 1 species
GGGCCGUGUUUGCUGAGCUGAUGUGCCCGGCUGAUACAGAUAGCGGCGGCGAGCCGCCCGCUUCUGUGGAAAAAGACUAUUUUAAGUGUCAUAAUUAAGUUUAGGAGCCUUGUUUGGGCUCAUUCACUGCUCGAAAUAAAAAGGACUGGCUGCUUCUAGACCCUUUCUGAAAGGGCUGGCUAAGCGCCUCUGCACGUUCGCUCGGAGAAGAAUGUUUUCUUUUCUAGUUUAAUAUUAGAAACUAUAUUUUUACUUGUUUAAACCGGAUUUGAAUUUUUUGGAGAUUUUUUUCCUCUCCCCCCCCCGCCCCCCAUCGCUCAAAUCUUUGUUCAUUGUUCAUUGACUGUGCAAGGCUGCUUAAAUGUACGGAGAGAGGGGGGAGGCCCCCUCGGUGGUUUGAUGUUGAAAUAGUAAACCUGAAUGAGGAGGGUGGCUGGAAAAGUGGACAUUGCAGCUUUAAUUAACUUCAAGAUGCUUCAGCGAGGACCAGAGCGUAGUAGUGACGUUGCCUCAUAAAUCUGUCCAGUACAGUGCGUUGCAUUGAACUAUUACAGUAUCACCAUCAUAUUGAAUAUUCACUACCUAUCCGGGAGCAGAUUUGCAUAAUUGGAUCUUUUUUAAAUGAAACUUGUUUGCAAAAACCCAAACAAAACCAAAAAAACCAAAAGCCCAAGUGAAAACCGCGGCGAUCUGCAUGGUUUUAAAGGGUUCAAACAUAUCCGAAAAAACGUGCACUAGAAGAGAGUCUCGGUACAGUUGCUAAACCCUGCGACUGAGUGCACUUUCUCAUGUCUUCUCUGCCUUCAGAUUUUGCUCCUGACUCUGAAUUUCUAUCCCUGCAGGUGCUCUAUAUUAGAACAGCAGAAACAAUCCCAGGAGCAGUUCUGUGAGUGCUUUGGAUGGUUCCAAGCUUAACUUCCAUAAAACAACUAGAAGGUCUAAAUGCAGGUUUUAUUUUUCCAGUUGUGACCUUCAGUACCUAUCCUGUGUCUUUUAAGAAUUUCCUCAUCCAGGGAACAGAUUCAUUGGCUUAAGAAUAACUGAAAUGUGCAGAAUGGUGCCCAACUGUGAGGUAGAAACUGGGAUCAUGCCUGUAGUUUUCAACCCAAGGUAAAUACACCCAACAGCCAAAGCCACAUGUAUCUGACCCAUACCUGAGUUUUGCCUAGAUACAGCAUUUCUUGACCCCACCUCCAGCUGCC